rnacentral:rRNA from 1 species
GACGAACGCUGGCGGCGUGCUUAACACAUGCAAGUCGAACGAAGAGCGAUGGAAGCUUGCUUCUAUCAAUCUUAGUGGCGAACGGGUGAGAAACGCGUAAUCAACCUGCCCUUCAGAGGGGGACAACAGUUGGAAACGACUGCUAAUACCGCAUACGAUCUAAUCUCGGCAUCGAGGAUAGAUGAAAGGUGGCCUCUACAUGUAAGCUAUCACUGAAGGAGGGGAUUGCGUCUGAUUAGCUAGUUGGAGGGGUAACGGCCCACCAAGGCGAUGAUCAGUAGCCGGUCUGAGAGGAUGAACGGCCACAUUGGGACUGAGACACGGCCCAGACUCCUACGGGAGGCAGCAGUGGGGAAUCUUCCGCAAUGGACGAAAGUCUGACGGAGCAACGCCGCGUGAGCGAUGACGGCCUUCGGGUUGUAAAGCUCUGUUAAUCGGGACGAAAGGCCUUCUUGCGAAUAGUGAGAAGGAUUGACGGUACCGGAAUAGAAAGCCACGGCUAACUACGUG